CCGUUAAUCAAGAACGAAAGUUAGAGGUUCGAAGGCGAUCAGAUACCGCCCUAGUUCUAACCAUAAACGAUGCCAGCCAGCGAUCCGCCGGUGUUCCUCCGAUGACUCGGCGGGCAGCUUCCGGGAAACCAAAGCUUUUGGGUUCCGGGGGAAGUAUGGUUGCAAAGCUGAAACUUAAAGGAAUUGACGGAAGGGCACCACCAGGAGUGGAGCCUGCGGCUUAAUUUGACUCAACACGGGAAACCUCACCAGGCCCGGACACCGGAAGGAUUGACAGAUUGAGAGCUCUUUCUUGAUUCGGUGGGUGGUGGUGCAUGGCCGUUCUUAGUUGGUGGAGCGAUUUGUCUGGUUAAUUCCGGUAACGAACGAGACUCUAGCCUGCUAAAUAGACGAUUUCCGGUAUCCACAAUAGUGCUACCGGCGAAAUCAAUAUCUUCUUAGAGGGACAGGCGGCUUUCAGCCGCACGAAACUGAGCAAUAACAGGUCUGUGAUGCCCUUAGAUGUCCUGGGCCGCACGCGCGCUACACUGAAGGAAUCAGCGUGUACACCCUGGCCGAAAGGCUCGGGCAACCCGUUGAACCUCCUUCGUGCUAGGGAUUGGGGCUUGCAAUUGUUCCCCAUGAACGAGGAAUUCCCAGUAAGCGCGAGUCAUAAGCUCGCGUUGAUUACGUCCCUGCCCUUUGUACACACCGCCCGUCGCUACUACCGAUUGAAUGAUUUAGUGAGGUCUUCGGACUGGUGCGCGGCGACCGCAUGCGCGGCCCGCCGAUGCCACCGGGAAGAUGACCGAACUUGAUCAUUUAGAGGAAGUAAAAGUCGUAACAA
rnacentral:rRNA from 1 species